rnacentral:rRNA from 2 species
UUUUAUGGAGAGUUUGAUCCUGGCUCAGGAUGAACGCUGGCGGCGUGCCUAAUACAUGCAAGUCGAGCGAACAGACGAGGAGCUUGCUCCUCUGACGUUAGCGGCGGACGGGUGAG